GACGAACGCUGGCGGCGUGCCUAAUACAUGCAAGUCGAACGCUUCUUUUUCCACCGGAGCUUGCUCCACCGGAAAAAGAGGAGUGGUGAACGGGUGAGUAACACGUGGGUAACCUGCCCAUCAGAAGGGGAUAACACUUGGAAACAGGUGCUAAUACCGUAUAACAAUCAAAACCGCAUGGUUUUGAUUUGAAAGGCGCUUUCGGGUGUCGCUGAUGGAUGGACCCGCGGUGCAUUAGCUAGUUGGUGAGGUAACGGCUCACCAAGGCCACGAUGCAUAGCCGACCUGAGAGGGUGAUCGGCCACAUUGGGACUGAGACACGGCCCAAACUCCUACGGGAGGCAGCAGUAGGGAAUCUUCGGCAAUGGACGAAAGUCUGACCGAGCAACGCCGCGUGAGUGAAGAAGGUUUUCGGAUCGUAAAACUCUGUUGUUAGAGAAGAACAAGGAUGAGAGUAACUGUUCAUCCCUUGACGGUAUCUAACCAGAAAGCCACGGCUAACUACGUGCCAGCAGCCGCGGUAAUACGUAGGUGGCAAGCGUUGUCCGGAUUUAUUGGGCGUAAAGCGAGCGCAGGCGGUUUCUUAAGUCUGAUGUGAAAGCCCCCGGCUCAACCGGGGAGGGUCAUUGGAAACUGGGAGACUUGAGUGCAGAAGAGGAGAGUGGAAUUCCAUGUGUAGCGGUGAAAUGCGUAGAUAUAUGGAGGAACACCAGUGGCGAAGGCGGCUCUCUGGUCUGUAACUGACGCUAAGGCUCGAAAGCGUGGGGAGCAAACAGGAUUAGAUACCCUGGUAGUCCACGCCGUAAACGAUGAGUGCUAAGUGUUGGAGGGUUUCCGCCCUUCAGUGCUGCAGCUAACGCAUUAAGCACUCCGCCUGGGGGAGUACGACCGCAAGGUUGAAACUCAAAGGAAUUGACGGGGGCCCGCACAAGCGGUGGAGCAUGUGGUUUAAUUCGAAGCAACGCGAAGAACCUUACCAGGUCUUGACAUCCUUUGACCACUCU
rnacentral:rRNA from 1 species